rnacentral:lncRNA from 1 species
GCACAUUAACAUUCCAAGCAGAUCUGAUAACAUCAAGAAAUUGAGGAUGAGUACUCCACAUGUUAAAGAAUCUAAACGGUUUCUUGCCUCUUGGUGUCGCUUUGUCUGCAUGUAUAUACAUUAAAGAAUGGUCAGAAAACAAAGGAGCACCAUACUCAAGAAGUGAAUCUGGGUAAACUAUUAACCAUUCAUGAUUAAUCAAACACCUAUCAAGUCGAGCCAUUAUUUUUCUGUUAGCAGCACCUUGAUUACUCCAGGAGAG